rnacentral:lncRNA from 1 species
GUGUGGUUCAGUACCGUUUCCUUGGCUAAAGGAAAGAUUUUUAACAUUCCUUUACAAUCUCACAGCAUUUUCUUAAGGAACUCGGAUGAGCUUCACUUGUCUUGUGUCACCUUCCCACUGAUGGACCAUUCUACACUUCACUCAACUUACCAAAAGAGGCACUACCUUUGAAGUCCUCUCCAACCAGUGCAAAGGAUUAUGGCCUGCCUAGGGGAGAGGGAAACCAAACGGUUUGCCUAUGAACAGCCCUGAAAUCAGAUGUCUAAUGGGUCAGCGAAUUGCUCUACUAACUUAGACCUUGGAGUAGCUGAGAAAGAGGCACUGUCAUAUAUCUCAGUGCCUGAUCCUGUCAGAUUCAUUGAGAUCAUAUGGAGCUGAACCUGUUUGGCAUCUUGCAGGAAUAGGAACCUUCAGGGUCCAAUCAGCACCAAAGCAGUAAAUCCAGGAUGAAGUCUGCUAGUGGGUCCAACACAUGAAAGCCCGGACAAUGUGUAGCAGGUAAGAUUGACAUAUCUGUGUUAAGU